CAAUACGGGUGCUAAUGUGUGUAUUAUCCUCUUCAUCAAGCUUGGCCAAUCCAAAGUCAGAUAUCUUUGGGGUAAGAUUUUUAUCAAGCAGCACAUUAGUAGCCUUGAUGUCUCUAUGAACGACCUUCAAUCUUGAUUCCUCGUGGAGGUAAGCCAAACCUCUCGCUAUACCAACACAGAUCUUGUGCCUUGUUGGCCAAUCCAACUUCAACUGACUUUCUUCCGGCCCUUCAAUUUGUCAAAUUACUCAAAGUUAGUUAUAAGGGGCAUCUUUUUUAUGUAUAAGAUCUUUUAUACCCAUAUGCAUGAACCAAAUGAAUUUUAGGCAUACAAGAGUAAUAUUUACCAAACAAAGAACGAGCAAGGCUAUUAUUUUCCAUGUACUCGUAGACAAGCAAUAGUUGAUUUCCUUCAAUACAGCAUCCGUGAAGCUUGACAAGAUGAGGGUGUUGCAGAGCAGAAAUCAUGCCUAUCUCAUUCACGAAUUCACGAUUCCCUUGCUUUGAUUUGGAAGAAAGCUGCUUGACAGCAAUUACGGUGCCAUCUGAUAGAAGGCCCUGCAUUUGAGAAACAAAGUCAAAAUCCCUUUACUAAAAAGCAGAGCAACUUUAGUAAGAAUGCUUACAAUUAGUCAAGUUAGCCCAACAGCAAUAAAUAAAUAGAAAUAUUGGUUCUGCAGAAUACCUUGUAAACAGAUCCAAAACCACCUUCUCCAAUCUUAUUGGCUUUGUCAAAGUUGUUUGUGGCAGCUUUGAGUUGCCUGAAGCUAAAUUUACCAGUUUGCAGGUCCACGCCCUUUAAAUCUGUGUAAGAAGCAAACUCAUAUAAGAAAUUGUGUCUAUACGAAUUUCAUGUUAGUAGCACUUUUAUUUCUUAAUAUCAUGCGACUGAUUCAAGGCCUAGAAUUUAACAAGUAACUGGAUCUAUAGGUAAGCACACUUUGCAUCAAAGGUUUCAACAGUAUAAUAUAUUCUAGCAGCAUCAAUCAAGGCGUCAGAAAGUUCAAUAUCUAAAUAAAUAUAAACUGUGCGUACCAUCCUCCAAAGUAUUUUCUUGUCCUAGGUGGCCUCUCCUCCAAAGAACACCAAAAAUCAGUAAUAUAAUGAAGACUCCUCCCCCCACAAUUCCAACUACUGCACCUACAGAUAUGCCAUUUCCACCAGGUACAUAGUCGGCUGGAAGAAGAAUAGCUUUAUUAGAGUAAAUGCAAAUGUAAUAGGUAAGAGAGUGCAAUGUUCAAGCAAUGCGCAAAGAAAAAAAAGAUUCAACGGAAUUGCAUGCACUGUCUUGGGAAACGUUAAGUAGAUAGUAAACGAAAUUGUUCCGCUGCCAUGUAAAUAUUAUAUGUUUGCUUAGGUGAAAAGGACAAUUUUAAUGUAAAAAAUAAAAAAUCCUUGAAGUUGCAUUUAAAAGCACAUACCAGUCCCAUACAAAGAACUGCAUUAAUCAGUUAUGUGAUAGGAAAUUUGAAUAGACAUCAUUUCUUCAAGACUUGAUUCGAACUAGGUAAAACAGAAAGAAAGGGGGAAAAUACAUAUGGGAUGCAAUCAAUUUAUUGAGCACCAUACAGUCCUGAUCAGUUCCCCUGCAGAACUAAAGGCGGAUCUCUUAAUUGUGCUGAAAUAUUAAUGCCUAACAUGAUAUUUACAUAUGAGAAACUCCCAAUGGUCUAAGUAGUAAUUAAAAGAAGAUCAUAACAGUGUAAACUUACCAUGUUUUACAGAAAUGGCUGAUAUAAGAGGACCAUAAACUCCUCUAAGAGGGAUACCGGUCGUCCCUUUCCCAGCCCAAUAGAAACGGAUCUCCAAGGUACCACUAGUUACACGAGCAGUAUACUUCAUUAUGACUGCAGUACCAACCCCACCAGCUUUGUCCACAAUAUUGAAAUCCUGCUCCACUAGUCUCCCCUGCAAUAUCCUAGUUUUGUUACAUAACAUUUCAUGAUCGUAAUGUUGUUUACAAGUUAUUACUAGAAAUUCUUAAACAUUUGAAUUGACCAGGAACUAAACAGUGUCUGUUGACCUUUACCUGAAUGUAAACAUCAAAUAUACGCCUUCCGAGGCUUCGAUAUGAUUUGUUAUUUGUAAACUCUGUCUCUACAAAAUGGAGGUUUACAAAGUAGUUUCCAUUUCUCAGACAAAACCCAUAGUAAGUUAGAGAGAGGGGAGAGAGGCGUGCAUGCGUGUACAGAUCUGGGUUUGCCAUAGAGAGUAUAGAUUUAUUAGUUUGGAUAAAGGUGUCUUCAGGACGGUCAUCAUCAAUAAAGUAACCAGUGCUGCUGAAAGCCCAAUUUGGUGAGGUUUGGCGAAAUGAAGAAGGUCCAGCCCAAUCUUCGUCACCAUCAAACUUGAACCCAUUAACAGUUACUGCUUUUCCACCACAAUUUAUACGGAAUUCGUACCCAGCUACAAUAGAAAGCAAAAGGGGAUUAGUGGCCAUACAGAGAGAUUUCUUCUUUAUCUCUUCUAUUUCAUUUCAAAGGAACUGUCAGAGGAUUAGUCGACAUCUUAAGCAAAAGGACUAUGGGCAUAUCUUGAAGCAAUAUGUGGAAACCCAACUUACUUUGUGGACAUGUUGGAAUUUCCAAACAUGUGGUUUUUCUGAUAGGAGAAUGCAGCAGGAUCCAGAAGAAGUCAGCAAGAUAACAUCAUAAAUGAAAAUAAGUUGUAUAAUAAAAAUUAAGAAUACACAGUUGGAAUGCCAAGUAAAUUUAUCUAUGCAUGUUUUCAGAGGAUUAAUUUGUAACUUACGAACUAUUGGCCGCUGAAAAGCUUUCAAACAAGUUCCUGUAGAAAUUAACAAAAAUUGAAAAAUUGGUUACAAGACACAAACACAGUAAACUCAAGCUAAUGAAGACAUUCUUACAGGUUGCUGCGUUUUGAUGGACAACCUGUAGCCCCUAUGGUGAAUUUGUUAUAUGAAAGAUCACUGCACACAAAUUUCCAAAUGCGGCAGUAUGAGAAUAGAAAAUAAAAUGAGGAGCAGUAUGAGAACAGAAAAUAAAAUUUCCAAAUGCAGUAGUAUGAGGUAAGUAUUUGUUAGCGAGAUCGUAGCUUUAGGAUAUUUAUUUCUCAGUCUAUUAGGACUCUAUUUUUUUUUUUUUUACAGAUAUUGUGUAAUUAUGAUUUUAUUUUAUUUCCUUGUAUAACCCUACUAGGGUUACAACCUUGUAUUAUAAAUACCUCAUUUUGGAAAAUGAAAUAUAUCUGAAAAUAUUCUACCCAUAUUGUUUGACUUAGUAUCAAAGCCGACUUUCUAUUGACCUAUGUGUUGUGCCCACCCGUGUUUUAGCCCCAUAUUUUUUUCUACCUGUGCCAUGUAUGCCCUCAUGGGUUUGUGUGUUGUAUUGUAAUAUUUGUGCCUCUACUAUGUUCGUGUCAUUCCUGUCUUGGUGCAUCUGCCGUAUUUAUGCCUCUACUGUGUUCUGCUGUGUACUCUGCCGUGUUCGUACAUGUCUUCGUGCAUCUAUCGUAUUUAUGCCUCUGUUGUGUUCCACUGUGUACUCUGUCGUGAUCUGUUGAGUUUUUGCUGCAAUAACGGGUGAUAACUCUAUUGUUGCUGCUGUUGCUGCUGCUUCUGCAAAUUUGUGUGCUUCUGACUAUAUUCCAGGUACUGACUCCAAUACUUGGAUAAUUGACACUGGUGCUUUUGAUCAUAUGACUUAUGAUGCUAAAUUUUUUGAUGAGUUGUCUAGUAACACCUGUAACUCAUACAUAACUAGUGCUCUCCAAUUACUGGUGAGGGCACAAUCUCUCUCACUCCUACUCUAUCUUUGUCUCGUGCAUUACUAGUUCCCAAUAUCCAUUAUAACUUGUUAUUUGUUGAUCGAUUACUUGAUACAUUUUAUGCUUAUGCUAUUUUAUAUCCUACACAUUGCUCUUUUCAGGAUCUCAAGACUCAUAAGACGAUUGGGUAGUAAAUAGAUAAGGGUGGUUAUAUUAUUUGACAUUGCAUUCUGCACCAGUUUGUGAUCGUGUCGUUAGUACUGUUCAAAUUUGCAAUGUCAAAGACAAACAACAAAUUUGGUUAUGGUAUCACUGCUUGGGACACCUGUCGUUUGACUACCUUCAGCGUCUGUUUUCCAUCUAUAGAUGAGUCCAGUUUUAAGUGUGAGACAUGUAUUUUGGCUAAGAGUCAUCGCACUGUGUUUCCUUUGAGUGACAGUAAAGCUGCAAAACCUUUUGAUUUAGUGCAUUAUGAUGUGUGGGAUCUGGCUCGCGUUACUUCGAACGAAUUUCAUUAGUUCGUCACAUUUAUUGAUGAUUGUACCUGAUUUACUUGGGUUUUCUUGUUGAAAAAUAAACAUGAUGUUGCUUAUAUCCUUCCAAAGUUUUAUACUAUGGUGUCUACUCAGUUUCAAGCUUGGGUCAAAGUAUUCUGGACUGAUAAUGGAAGAGAAUAUGUGAAUAAUACUUUGGCUUAUUUCUUUUUUGCUCAAGGUAUUUUUUACCAAACGACAACCCCGUUUACCCCUCAACAAAAUGGUGUCUCUGAAAGAAAGAAUCGACAAUUGCUUGAAUUUGUUCGCUCACUCAUAUUGGAUGUCUAUUCCCCAUCAUCUUUGGGGGCAUACUGUUCUGUUUGCUGCCUAUUUGAUUAAUCGUAUUCCUAGCCGAGUUCUUGAUUUCAAGACUCCGCAUAAUGUGUUUAGUAAACAUGUUUCCCCUAUCUCCGUCUCUAAGUCGCCCCCUAAAGUUUUUGGAUGUAUUGCCUAUGUUCAUGUCUACUCUCAUAAUUAGAGUAAACUUGAUCCUUGUGUUAUACGUUGUGUAUUUAUUUGCUACUAUUCUACUCAUAAGGGUUAUAAGUGUUAUCAUCCAUCUACCCAGAAUGUGCAUGUUACUUUGAAUGUGAUUUUUCAUGAAGAAAUGCCAUAUUAUGUUUCUCCCUCUUUUCCAAUUCAAGGGGAGAUGGAAAGUGAAUUUGAGAGUCUUGAAUUAGAGAAUCUUGAACUUAAAUUGGAGAAUGAUGUGUUUGAAGAUACUGCUCUCGGGAAGGAAACGACCGGUUGCAUUGAAUCAAGCCACCGGUCACCCAUAUCUGUAGAUGAAACAUGUGGAAUGUGAAGAAACGACAAGUCGUCCUUUAGAACUCGACCGAUCGCCAAUAUUUGGAGAUGAAGCAGGUGCUCUCGCUGUCAAAAUGACCGAUCGCACUGAAGCAAGCGACCGGUUGCCUGUAUCUGAAAAUAGUGACGGUGAUUCUUGUAUGGAUUAGCUCGAUGCCAUACCCCUCUUUGUCCUGCCAGUGCCCCAGUCUACUCGUGAUAAUGCAUCAAGUGAGGUAAUUUCUAAUGACCUAUAUGUGUCAACUUAUCAGUUACUGCCACGAACCACUUGUGGCAAACCCAAAGUACAAUAUUCCCCUAAUGUACAUGCCAAGUCUAAAUAUCUCAUUAGCCAUUAUGUGUCAACUCAUCUUUUGUCUAAGUCAUAUACAUCAUAUUUGUGUCAAUUAUCUAGUAUAUGUGUGCUAACUAAGCUGCAAGAUGCUCUUUCUAACACCAAAUGGGUGGAUGUUAUGAAUGUUGAAAUGGAAGCAUUGAACAAGAAUGAAACUUGGGAUUUAGUCACUCUACCAAAAGGGAAGAAAGCUGUUGGGUGCAGAUGGAUGUUUACUUUGAAGCAUAAAUCUACCGGUUCCAUUGACCGUUACAAGGUUAGAUUGGUAGCAUAAGGUUAUAAUCAAACUUAUGGAGUUGAUUAUUUGGAGACCUUUGCUCUACUAGCAAAACUCAAUGUUGUACGUGUGCUCUUGUCCCUGGCUGCUAAUCGUGACUAGCCUUGUUACAAUUUGAUGUAAAGAAUGCAUUCCUACAUGAUGACCUCAAGGAAAAAAUAUACAUAGAUGUUCCUCCUGGUAAGCAGUCUCCAAGAGCAUGGUUUGGGAGGUUUGUAAUAUCUAUGAAGAAAUUUGGGUAUGUGCAGAGUAACUCAAAUCAUACUUUGUUUCUAAAGCGUCAUAAAAGUAAAUUGACAGCAUUAAUUAUUUAUGUUGAUGAUAUGAUUGUAACUGAAGAUGAUCAGGCAGAAAUGAAAAAUCUUCAGAAGUAUCUCGCUUCUAAGUUUGAGAUGAAAUUAUUGAGUGAUUUGAAGUACUUUCUUGGAAUUGAAGUUGCCAUAUCUAAACAUGAUAUCUUUUUUGUCCCAAAGAAAGUAUGUUUUGGAUUUACUUGCAGAAACUAGAAUGUUGGAUUGUGAACCAAUUGAUACCCUUAGUGAAUAGAGUAAUAAGUUAGGGUUGUAUCCUGAUCAAGCUCCUACUGAUAAAGAACAUUAUCAAUGACUUGUGAGGAAAUUGAUUUAUUUAGCUCAUACACGUCCCGACAUUGCAUAUGCAAUGAGUGAAUGGAGUCAAUUUAUGCAUUUUUCUAGUGAAGAUCAUAUGGAUGAUGUGAUGUGUAUUUUGAGGUUUCUAAAAGCAACUCCUGGCAAUGGGUUAAUGUUUUUCAAGUAUGGUCAUACAGAUGUGGAAGGAUAUACGGAUGCUGAUUGAGCUAGUUCAGUCAUUGAUAAACGUUCUAUGUCUUGGUAUUUUACAUUUAUUGGUGGUAAUCUUAUUACUUGAAGGAGUAAAAAGCAAAAAAGUGGUGUCUCGGUCUAGUGCCGAAGCCAAGUAUCAUGGGAUGGCUCAAGGUGUGUGCGAGUUACUACGAUUAAGGAGAUUGUUGAGAGAUCUUGGGUUUGCGCCCUAGAAACCAAUGGAUUUGUAUUGUGAUAACAAAGCUGCAAUUGCGAUUGUUCAUAACCCUGUGCAACAUGAUCAUACAAAGCACGUGGAGUUUGAUUGACAUUUUAUUAAAGAGAAGAUGGAUGUUGAGAUUGUUUCUUUUCCGUUUAUAUCAUUUGAGCAUCAACUGGCAGAUAUAUUUACGAAAAUUGUGUCUACUACCAUCUUUCUCAACUCGUUUGACAAGUUAGGCAUACGUGACAUCUUUGCGCCAACUUGAGGGGGAGUGUUAGCGAGAUCGUAGUUUAAUUAAGAGAUUUAUUUCCUAGUCUAUUAGGACUCUAUUUCUUUCUAUUUUGUACGGAUAUUGUGUAAUUAGGAUUUUAUCUUAUUUCCUUGUAUAACCCUACUAGGGUUACAACCUUGUAUUAUAAAUACCUCCUUUUAGAGAACGAAAUAUAUCUGAAAAUAUUCUACCCAUAUUGUUUGAUUGUAUUCACAUGAUUGGAUUGAAGUUUUUUAUAUCAAUUCUAGCGAGAGUUAAUUCUGAAAAUCCAAUAUUAGUCAUAGGCGCCCUAAGCUCUCACAACUGUCCAAGUUAAGCCAAGUUCACUUUCAAAUUUCCCUUGGAACUAUCUUCAAUGUCGAAUCUUAUCCUUCUAUUGAAAAAUAAUGUUCAUUUUUAUUCUACACAGUUCUAGAAGAAUCAUGAAUACAAGAACGAUUCUAGAGUUACAGAGAACAUACUAUGUUGGCUAGACAAAGAGAAUUGAAAUUGGAAAAACUUUCUAGAAGCAAGAAAAUUCAUGUUGCUAGAUUAUGCAAGUGGAGCAUGAUGGCUAAACAAUAGCCACAAAAAAUAUUAUACAAUAUAGAAUAUUCUAGAUGAAGCCACACACUUGUGGCUGGAGAAAAAAAUGCCAAGUCGGUGGAUCAUGAUGUCGGCAAAGAAUGCCUAUAAAAAGGCAUGCAAUGCAACAAAGCAAGGUGGAGUCUAACAAAAAGAACUCCCAAACUAAUGGAGCCAAGAGCUACUCAGACAAAGCUAUGUUGAAGAGCCAAUAAGCUCACCAAUCUAAGUGUGAAGGGCCAAAUAGCUCAAACUAUUCUAAAUCAAGUGUGGUGGCCAAUAAGCCAAUAAGUUAAGAAGGAUGCCAAUUAGCCUACAUCAAGCUAUGUACUAUUCUCUUCCAAUAUAAUAAAUCACUUUGUUCAACUAUUGUACUAUUGUCCUAAAUCCCUUCACGCAUAAACCAACAAUGGUAUCAGAGCAUCACAAACACUAAUCUCACCUACUAUAUUCCAACACCUUCCUUGUCUUCCCACACGUGACACAUCCAUCUUGACAUUCUCAUUUCUUCCACUCAUUUUAUGAACAUGUUGUUUUCUAAGUGCCAUAUAGCAUGGCUGGUCUACCAAUUUAUGCAGAGAAUGCUUUGGAGAUAUGAGGGAAACCUUGAAAAAGGCUUAGGGAUCAUAAAACUUAGGGAACAUUUUAAGAUAAUUAUAAAGAAAGUACAUUAAUGCCUAUUUCAUGAAUAUAAUUGUAUGUCAAGCUCCAUUAUGAAAAGUUAUGUCAUAACGAAUGCACUAUGCUUUAUCCAGUAAUAGACAGCAUAAAUCUCCUUACUAAAUAACUAAAGACUAGACUUUGGAAGAGAAGCUUACACUUCUUUUUUCGUCCAAGUAGGCACGGGUCCGGUCAGCAAGUUUCCAGUUAAGAAUCUAAACAUAAUUGGUACAGGAAAAACGGCAUAAAUUACUAGAAAGGGGUAUAAACAAAAGCAAUGAAUUACUAGAAUGCUAAGCAUGAUUAACACGACCAGCUUGUAGGGCAGGGUUGUGACAAAGCCAUUGAAGAAUGUCUGCUUGAGUUUUCUUGUAAUAAAGUCAAGAUUUGUUAUUCAAAUUGCUUACAUAUAUUUCACUUCUGCCAGAGCAACAAAGCGGCUUGGAAUUUCCCCGGUUAGCUUGUUAAAGCUGAGGUCUCUGCACAAACCAGUAACAAAUGCAUUUCAGAUAUGCUCCCCCGGAGAGAAACAUUAUUUAACUUAAUAAUAAUAAUAAUAAAAUCACUCCAAGAUUCGGGUAAGUGUAAAAUCUAUGCCUACGUACAUGUGUGUGAUUGCGUUGAUUACGUAAAAAUAGUAUCUAGAAAGAAGAUAAUUUAUUUAUCUGAAGACAGAAAUAAUAAAAAAUAAAAAAAGGGACAAAAGACAUUUGUACUAACAAAGUUUUCAAAUUCUUCAUGUUCUCGAGAUACUGAGGUAGCUGUCCAGUUAUAUUGCAACUCCUCAAAAUCCUGUAACAGAAACACUAAAAUUUUGAGUUUGCAAAAGACUUCAGGUACAGACAGAAAUUGUGAUUCAUGGAAGCAUUAACUCACAGUGUCUUCAUGCCUUCCAUAUUCUCAAGUGGAGGAAAGGGUGCUUCAGGCCCACUCAAGUCAGUAAUUCUCCUGCAUGUUAAAAUUGAGCAAUGAACAUAGAUUACAGAAUUGCUAAUCUGUUUGUAUUUAUAAGUAGAUACAAAAUCAAAAUCCAUACUAACAAGUCAGUUAAUUUUGUUAAAAGAGAAAUGCCGGAAGGAAUUGGCCCCGUCAAACCACUAGCCUGAAUCAUUCUGUUUGAACAAGUCAACAUUUGAAUUAGCGAUAAUAUUCAGAAUCAAGUAGUAGCAAAGAUAACAAAAAAGAAAACUCACAUUUUGUCAAGAUUUGUCCAGUUCUGAAUAAAAUGAGGUAUCUGCCCGGUAAAGUGACUGUCACCCACCCGGCUGCAUAAUGAUUGGCAAAAGGAAAAUAGUACCAAUUAAUACUAUAAUGCGGUAUUUGGGUGCUUUUAGGAAACCUUUAAGAAAAAAGAACAACAGAAGCUUACAAGUCUUUUAGUGUGGUAAGAUUUCCAAAUGUAUCUGGCAACUCCCCAGUAAAAUUAUUUGAGUUAAGAAGCCUAACCAUGAAGGAGACAUAACAAUUAUAUUAAAGAUACAGAAGUCGAUGAUUGCUGAUGAAAAUAUCCAGCAUCUGUCUGUCAGGAUAAAACUCGAAAUAGGACAAUCUUACAUGCUUUCUAUGAGGGUCAAAUUCCCAAGCUCCCGAGGGAGCUCUCCAGAGAAAUUAUUCAUACUGAUGUCCCUACACAAAGAAAAUUCAAUUCCACUGAUUAAAAAAGAUCAUUCCAUAAAAUCAAGUGGGGGAAAGAAGAAACAAAUGCGUAAUCAACACUCACAAACGCUUCAGGGUGGUGAUGUCUCCAAGCUCUUUGGGGAUAGGACCGGUCAAACGGUUUCCAAGAAGGGAACUGCAACAAAACUCGUGUUUGGCCAUCAAGAUGAAUGCAACAAAUAUGUUAGAUUCAACAUUUAUGAUUCAAAUGGCUCAUGGCCACUCAAAGGCCAUGAAUAUGAACAAAAUCCAUGUAGUAGAUUUGUAGUUUAAGAAAGAAAUGGCUAAAGAAUAUUGAAGUUGCCACUAAAACAAUAAGAACAUGUCAUGAACAUCAACACACACACGCAUGUAUGCAUAGCGAAAAAAGACCGUACAUGUUGACAAGUGAAAGGGAGCCCCAUUCUGGAGGGAUGGUACCACUCAGGUAGUUGCGGGUGAGGUCACUGCAGGAGAAAGAAAGAAAUGAGGCAUUUUCCCAUUGACAACAGACAUACAUGUAAGGUAACAACGUGCUUACAUUUCUUCGAGAUAGCUGAGCCUGGCCAUCUCUUUUGGGAGUGUUCCUGGCAAAUCCUGAGCUUUCAUAACUCUGUGCUUCAUCACAAAACAAGGUUUCAAAUCUUAAUUGCAAUUUAACAAAGACCUGACUGUGACUAAGAGGAAAUGCUUCCACACAGAUGAGACCAAAACAGUUAAUUAUUUAGAGGGUAAAGACUCGACUUCAACUCAGGCAAUGUCCUUAAAAAGAAUAAAACUUGCAAUUUUUUGGUCACGAAGAAUAAAACUUGCAAUUACACAAACAGUUAAUAUGCAUUUGUCCUGUAGUGAUAAUUAGCAAGCCAGCUUUGUCAACAAGUUCCAAAACAAUGUCAAUUGUGAGAAUGUGAAGGUGAAAGUCUCACAUUGAAAAGUUGAGAAACUUAACAAAGGCUUAUAAAAAGUUGGGUUACUCUCCCUAUUGCCAAUUGAUUUUGGGAUGGAAUCUCAACUUCCUUCAUGGUAUCAGAAUCAGAUUAGCCCACAUAUGAAAGCCCAAUGACCACUUGAGGGCUGGCUUGGUUUCAUGAGCCCCAGCAGCUGUCCUGGCCAGCCCUUGCUGAUAGAAAUGGUUUUUGGGCCCAAACCAACAAACCAACCCAAUCCCCUGCCCAGUACUCUUACACAUUGAUAGUGUGCAUGAGAAAUUUCACAAAAAUUGAACGUGGCAACAGCCAACUCCAUGCGGUGCCGACAGUCCCUUUUUUUUUUUUGGUCGAAAAGCCGACAGUCCCUUUUGAUUCCCAGUUAUUUUGGAGGUGGCAUGAUGAUAUUUUAAGUCAAUUGGGGGGCCAAUGUGAAAAUGAUCAAUAAUUAAUUGAUAUAGACGCAGUCCCCAGAAACCCAGAAAACCAAAUGUCCAAAUCAGCAUCUCUCUCUCUCUCUCUCUCUACAAACUUACAGCUGAGCUAAUGGUCAUGGGUCAAUCAAUCAAGGAAGGUUCAUGCACUGAUUCUUCUUUCACUUUCAGUUUCAGACAAAAAAUUCUGAGAUGAUAUGACUGACUUGUUUAAUACUCCUAACAGUAUCAACGUCAAAAUUAACUUAAGCAUAUGUAAAUAACCUAUACCCUAACACUACUCAUGUCACUUAAUUUAAGAGGAGCUUUUAAGAGCGCAUGCAAUAGUAUACUCUCGUAGGGAUAGAAUUAGUGUGGAGUUAGGUGGAACCAAGGACUAAAAUAUCGAUGAAAUAUCAUCAAUAUUAUCGUUUUUUUGGGUCUAUGAUAUUUUGAAACAUAUCCAUAUACAUAUAGUAUAAUUAAUAUUUGGAAAUAUCGACGUUGAUAAUUUCUCACACGCUUCAACAAGAUUUGGCCAAAAAUAUCGAGAUGAUGAAGACAGUGAAAAAUUUGAGCCUCAUAGAAACUUAUGUGGUACUAAGUCACUCAUGUCUCUUAUCAUGCAAUGUAUAAAGUAUAAAAUAUUAUAGUAAAUCAUUAUAAAUAAAUGAUUAUGGUGUAUUUAAUAUUCUUUUAUUAAUUACUACAAAUUUUCUACACUCCCGGUGUUUGUCAGCUCGCUAUAUAAUCAACUUAAAUCAGUUAAACCCAUCAUGUAAUGCAUUUCCUUCAAAAAAAUUUUGGAGAAACUAAUACAUAAUUGACUAAAUAAACAUCCUCCAAAGUUUCAAUAAAAAUUUCAAAGUUUUUCUUACAAUUUCCAUAGUUUUUAUUCAAUUUUUACCGAUAUUGAUAAUUUUCCGAUAUUUCCAUUGAAAUUGCCAUGUUUUCAGACCAUCGAUAUUUUAGACCUUGGGUGGAACUAAAAUUGAAAGAUAUCCUUACUUUUGUGAGGGUUGACAAACAAUCCACUAGAUCUGGCAGGUGGACAUAAGAAUUUCUCGUAAUUUAAAACUUGCAUAACAUUAGAGGCUCUCCUACCUUAGAAAGUUAGAGAAUCUGUUAGAACCAAAAGAAAAAGUUGGAUUCCAUGCAUAUAACACAAAAGUUGAAGGACUUUAAAUUUUGAGACUUCAGAUAUAUGGAGUAGAGUAAGUAAAUGCUGCGACUGUCUUCUUCACCGACAACAUGAGAAAGGCUCAUUUAAAGUCAUCAAAAUUUGGCCAUCGUGAGUAUACUAGUAUUAUACAAAUAGCAAUUUUCUUGGAGUAUAUAUAUAUAAUGGGAUAAUUCUGAAAGGGAAAAAAAUAAUAAUAUACAUAAUACAUAUAUAUCGCCAAUGAUCUAAUAUUCCCCAAAAAAGUUUGUGGUUUACAUGGAUAUGGUGGUGAUGGUGUCACCCCUAAACAAAGAUCAUUUGGUGUUAGGUGGUGAGAGAGAGAGAGAGAGAGAGAGAGAGAGAGAGAGAGAGAGAGAGAGAAGUUUACAUGCUGGUAAUAUGGCAGACAGUGGAACUGGCAAAGGAACAAUUACAGGUGACACCAUACUCAAAUCCUUUGGCAGCAUUGGUAUCAGUCCAUGGUUUUUUUUUUUCCCUUCUUUUGUAAUGGAUAAUAAAUGCUUUUAAUUCUUUUCCUUUCAUGGAGAAGUUUAUUAUGUAAUUGCUAAUUGACAUUAAAAUUCACUUGUACUGUCAACCUUUUUCGGUUUGUAUAUAAGGUAAAUUUAAUCCACUCUAUUUUCAAAUCUUGGAUCCGUCUCUCGGGUGACACACCAUCAUCGUAUAUAUAUAAAUGCAUUUCCAUGUAAACCAAAUAAACCCGAUAAGAUCAUUUGGUAUAAGAUCAUUUGGUGUUAGGUAGAGAGAGAGAGAGAGAGAGAGAGAGAGAGAAGUUUACAUGCUGGUAAUAUGGCAGACAGUGGAAUUGGCAAAGGAACAAUUACAGGUGACGCCAUACUCAAAUCCUUUGGCCGGAUUGGUAUCAGUCCAUGGUUUUUGAUUGUUGCAUGGAUCUGCAUCUCCACUGAAAUCCCAUUUCGUCUUCCCCAGUGUCUUUGCUAUGUCGGCUAAAGUUUGUACUACAUAUAUAUAUAAAACAAAGUGCAACAAUAAUUUAACACCAUAUGCUCAAAACUCAAUUUCUACACAUUCAUACAAUUACUACCAUUAAUGUCUAAAUAAACAACAACUACAAAGUCAUGAAUCCAAGCAUCAUAUAUACGUAUACCUUCAUCUCGUGGCAAUCGAGUAAGUCCAAAAGCAAAAUUUCCAAAGCAAACCACCACCAAGAGAGAAUGAAGAAAAGGUCGAGGGAAGAACAUAUUCAUCAAUUAAUUUUCUAUUGGAAACCUUUCCACAUUUGAAGAGGAAAACAGUGCCCAAAAUGAGAGCUUUUGAAUGAAGAGGUAUCGUACGAUUGUGUGUAUGAAAGAUUUGUGAGGAGAGUAUUGGUGCUUACAGCAGCUUUUUAUAGACACAGAAAAAUCGAGUAGACCUUCAAGGACUGAAACUGAAGUCAAAUACUUUUAAAAAAAUUAUUAUUCUCAUCCACUCACUUUAUAGUCUAAUCUCCUUUUUUUUAAUAUAUAAAGAAAAAAAGAAAAAAAAGGAGAUUAGACACUGCAUGCAAACACACACGUACUGUACAUAAAGCUGUUUUGAAUAAUAAUCAAUACAUAAAAGUUCCACAGCAUCCCCUUUCUCAGUUUUCCAUUAUUUACAUCUUUUGGGUUUAAAAAUUAAAUGUGGUCAGAGCACUUCCUGAAGUUUGUCUUUUAUCAUGGUAAAGGGGUUAGAGCAGUUAUUAUUCACGUGAACAGUUGUUGUCAUUGCAAAAAAUAAUGUGUAUUUCCACCAGUUGCCCUUUGUCAGAGCAAAUACUAUUUAUUUUUUUGUUUUUUUCACAAAUUUUUUUACCUAAACAAUUAAUUUGGAUAAUAUUUUCCACAAGAUUUUUGGGUUCCUACUUGUCAGCCCAGGCUCGUGGCCCCCCACCUCCUGCCCAGGCAAGCCUUUGCUGCUGGAAACGUAAUUUGGGCUCAAAACGCCCCUAGCCCGCCCCCUGCCUUCUCUGUUGGAAUUGCUCUCAAUUAGGAAUGGCAAUAAUGCCCGUCGGGUCCCCGCCCCUAACGGGGGGAGUUUUCGGGGAGAAAUCGGGGCCGGGUACAGGGAUUCUCAAAUUUGCAAAAUCCCCUAUCAGGGAUGGGCCGGGGAUGGUAUUGUUAUCCCCAUCCCCGAACCCGGCCCGAUAAGUAAUAUAUUUAUUUAUAAUUAAUAUAUUAAUAUAUAUUAAUAUAAUAUAAUAAACGAAGUUACCCUAGCGUCGCUCCUUAUUCCUGAUAUAUUGCAUAGGGUUGGCACGCACAGCGGCAUAGUCAAAUGAGCUUAUUUGAUACAUUAUUUAACCAAACUUGGCAACAACAUAGUGGAUUGGUCUAAUAUGGUGAGGAUCAUGAACAGACAAUGAAUGAAGAUGAGGGGUUGCCCACGUGCUGCUGCUUCUAUUGGUUGUUAGGAAAACCAAAAUCCUCAAACAAACCAUGAAUGAUGAGGAAAUAAAAGUGGAAGGUUAAAAAUCAGAAGUGUUUACAAAAAAGAUAAAUUUUUGUACGCCAUCAAGUAUGUCAUAAAUGAAAACCGGGGAUUGGGGCGGGUAUGUGAGGCACUUUCCCGACGGGGACGGGGAUGGGGAUUCCACGAAAAGCUUAAACCGGGGAUUGGGGCGGGGACAAGGACAUAGACGGGGAUAGAGAGCGGAGACAGGAAUGGUAUUGUCAUACUCGGCUCCUAACCGGCCCGUCGCCAUCCUUACUCUCAAUGAGAAUUUAAUCAGAAAAAUAAAGUUGAAAACUCUUUAUAUCUGUAUGAAAACAGUGCAUAUAGAAAAUAACUCAAUAUUGUUUUAAGUUUUCUCCAACGUACACGGUACACUACUUAAAAAAAAAGACUAAAAGAGACUGAGGGCAAUCAUACAUUUUUGGAGACUGAAAACAGUACCUAACGUAGUAAUAGGCACUGACUUAUAAUAGUGUCUUAUAUAUGGGUCCUCUAAUCAUUCCGUGCCAUAUUUCUACCAGUCAAACAAAAACCAUGAGUCGCUAAGCAAAACUCAUUCAAAUGAAAGAUUUGUAACACAGAUCUAGCCCAAACCAGAAAAUGGGUUAGAUUUACAAACACAGUACCAAGAAUUAAAUUUAAAACUAGACCAAGAAAUCCAGACACAACACAAUACCAAGAAAAAGACGAGAGUUAUAACCAAAAAAAAUAAUAGACAAAAGGGGUGCGUAAAGAUUUGAAGCAGAAAAAGAGAGAAGUUUCAAGAAAGUUGUUAAGAAAAUACAAGAGAGAGAGAGAGAGAGAGAGAGAGAGAGAGGUAGGAAUCUUGGGAUGAGAAAAAGGAGGAAAGCCAUUUUGGUUUACGUAUAAUUUCACUUAGUUGGUAUAAUGAGUCUUUUAUUUAUAUAUUUUCAAAAAUUUUAAUUAAGUUUUUGUGUUGAUUCGUGCCCACUACUGGAAAUGGUGGAGAACUUGGGCACUGAUUAAUUUGUCAGUGCCUUAUUUUCUAAUAUAUAUUUGACAUGAAAGUAUUACAUAUAAUUUCUUUAAUACUGAAGGCACGGAUUUCCGAGUUUUAAAAAUUGUUAGUCAUGGGAAAUUAUAUUAUCAUUUUAUAGAAACUAUUUCUAUUAUCAGUCCCUAAUAGGUGUGGAAAAGUCCAAGUCAUCCAACGGAAUAUUUCUCGUGGAAUUUUCAUUUUUUUUUCUUUAUAUAUAUAUAUAUAUUUUGAUAAAGGAAAAUUUCAUGAAUACUUCAUUAAGUUUAAGUGUCAGAGUGUCAGACAUCUGUGUCCAACGAUCAACGUCGUGUUUAUAGUCAAGACACUCUCAUAACACGAUCAACUCAUACUCUAAAUUAAUUAAUAUAUUAAUUCAAUUAUAAUUCAUAUAAAAUUAAUAAACUACAUUUUUGAAAAAUUUAAAAGGCUUGAAUUUCACUAUGUAGUAUUGUAAAAUUAAAGUAUGAACAUCAAUAUUUUUACUUUUAAAAAAGAUAUACAAGUUUUUUUAAAAAAAAUUCUCAUGUCUCCAUGUCUUAAUUUUUUGAAAUUUAUUAUUUCCCGUGUCUUUGUAUUGUGCAUCCAUGUCGUCAUAUUUGUGUUCGUGCAAAAUUAACUUUCAAACUAGUAAUUAAUUAUUUUAAUUCUAAAAUCUGCAUGCAAACACGCACAUCGAAAAGCUGUUUUGACUAAACACGUAAUCACCGAAAUAUAAUAAUCUAUACGUAAAAGUUACACAGCAAUCCCUUUUUCAGGUGUCCAUUAUUUUCAUCUUUUGGAUGGACUCCAACUUCCCAAUCAAUCAGUCAAUGCAUUGAAGCUGUAUAAAGAAAUAAAAAAUAAAGAAACAAGAGCCACUUGUGUGAAGAGCCAGCCAUGUGAAAUCGACCAAACAAUUAAUGUUUCCCAUUUUAAAUUCAUCCAUAAAACCAAAAUUAUUUUCAAAAUAAUGUCAGGGAUAGGAUUCAUAGGUCCCAGGUCGAAGAAAAAUAAGCUUCAGUCCAAAAAAGAUGAAAGGCUGCUGCUGAGUGCUGACUGACUCUUUACAGCGACAUUAAAUUAAUAUUCCAAUUCUGUUCUAUCAAUAUCAAUAUUGGAUGACUUGUCCUUUCUUUGUUUCUUCGUCUAAGAACUUAUCCAAAUUUUUAUAUAACCUCAAUGAACUUUCCUGGUUGGUGAUGCAGGCACUUACAAAGCACAUGGUGAUUUUAAUGUGCCCGGAGAAUACUUGUUUAUUGUAUCUAUCAGAAAUCAUCAAGUACAGUCUAUUUAUCUACUAUGUAAUUGUGGAAGUAGCACCGAUCAUACAAUUGUUUUACAGUUUUUGCCAUGUAUUUUGGGAGCUAUAUUUUAUUUCCUCUACUGCUACGUAACUACGUUAGGAUUGUUAGUUUUCGUUCUUCUAAUGUUUUUAGCUUUCUUUAACAAACUUGUAAUCUCGUAUGUAAUCAAUCAAGCUCAAAGAAUUUAGGCUAGUUUAAGUAUGCAUUCAAAAUGAUUACAGAAAUCGAGAUCAACCUUGUUAUAGCUAAAAUAGAAUCAAGAUUCUUGAAGGUAAAAAUCAUACAUUUUAUUCUCAUGUGAGUCCAGCCUUUGUCAGCUGUAAACUUUCUAUUCUAAUGUUCUUUGUCUCAUUGUGAAGCCAAUGUUUGGCUGCCAGCUGGGGAAAUUUAGGGCAGACUUCUUUUUGGGUAAAAAGGGUGGCUACAACAUUGAGAGAAAAUUUGACAGCUUCUUCCUCUGCAUUUUCUUCUUAUGAGAGGUCUGCAUUUUGCAUUGUGAGAUUUUGACAAUUGGUUUUUAAAAUCUACUUUGAUCUUUAAAAUCUGCUUUGAAUUGUUGAAUGCGCAUUUCUCUUGGAAUUUAGAUUUCUGAAGUUACAGAAAAAAAGGCUACUGUCCACUUGGGGUCGUUGGAUUGGAGCAUUGGAAGAUGACUUAUUCUCAUCUCCUGUAUCUGUCUAAGCCGAAUCUGCCAGUUCAUUCCUUCCAACACUCAUAUUGAUAUUGCAUGACAAGUUCAAAACCACAUUGAGCAGAAUGCUGAUUUCCACCAUUCUCUUUCAAAUAGAAACAGUAACAAAGCUUAGCUUCCAAGUAAUUUAUUCAAUUUCCUGAGUCUAAACCUCUGCCCUGUAUUGCAAAUUAUGUCAUCGUAAUGCAAUCUUCUCAGAAGAUAUAAUAUACCAGCUUCUGUGCUGUAGCAAAGUUGAUCCAAGGGAUUCAUAAUUUACAUUUACCAAUUUACCAUGCUGUAGAAACAUCUAUAUUAUUCUUUCAGCUAUCUUGCCAAACAAAAAAUAUAUAUGCGUGUGUAUAUCGAGGGGGUGUAGAGAUGAUAUGUGAACAUAAAUGUUUGAGAGUCAAGACAGUUUGCUCAGUUUCUAUCACUUCUGUUGUCCCAGUAAGUUGAAUCAGGAUUGACUGGAUAGAGAUCAUGAACAGAUGUAGAUGAACCAGUCCAAGGCCCUUCAGUUGACGCAGUUUGUGUCUGGCUCUCACCGGUUUUCCUUCCGAAACUGGAUUCAAAAUGUUUCCUCAUUGCUUCGAUCUCAUUAGUUGAGGCAUUUGGAUCUGAGACCAAUUCCUGAACAGCAGCCCUGCCUUCAAGCAUGCUCACGACUGAAGACAUGGUAGGCCUAACUGUUGAAGUGACAUUGCAGCAGAGGAGAGCCACAUUGAUUGUAAGCAUCACCUCUUCUUUGUUGAAGUCCGAGCUCAACCUUGGAUCCACUAGGUCCAUUAAAUUCCCUUGCUCUUUUAGUAGAUGUGCCUAGAAACAGCGAAGUACAAAAAAGCAACAUAAUUUGUCUAUCUUUACAAAUACUUCCACUGAUCUUGCGUAUAUAAGGUAAAUACAAUGAUACUAGUAGUCAUUCAGGGUUAAUAUUGUCAGAGAAAGAUAAUGUGCUCAGGCAUUCAAUAAAAGAGAAUCAAUGCCAAAUGAAACCAGACUUGAUUUUGGUUCAUCAUUAAAACUAUUGCAGUAUCAAUCACUUCCCCUCAGCCAGAGACACAGAAUAGAGAUAAACAGUAUCAGACUAAAUUUAACUGUGAAUGAGGAAGCAGUAGAAUCAAGUUACCCAAUCAAGAAGAUAAAAGCUUUCUUCCUUUGACCUGUAACUGGUGUUGUUCCUCCCACUAGCAAUUUCCAAUACAAGAAUUCCAAAGCUAUAAACAUCUGCUUUGUCAGUCAGAUAACCCCGCAUCGCAUAUUCAGGCGCCAUAUAUCCACUGCAAAAAAUCGCUCAUCAUUUCCCCAUAUUUAGCUUAGUGAAAUACUAAAAAAUACUACAAAGUUUCUUUAACAGUACAGAUCCAGUUAAGUUUGAAACUUAUAAAAAGUUGAGAAACCUCCAUCUGUUUCCUAUUUCUAUGGACCCAUCAUCGGGGUGGAAGAAAUCAAAAUAAAAGUAUAAGAAGAAAAAAAAAAAAAAUAUCACGGGGACUCACUAAGUUCCAGCAAUACGGGUGCUAAUGUGUGUAUUAUCCUCUUCAUCAAGCUUGGCCAAUCCAAAGUCAGAUAUCUUUGGGGUAAGAUUUUUAUCAAGCAGCACAUUAGUAGCCUUGAUGUCUCUAUGAACGACCUUCAAUCUUGAUUCCUCGUGGAGGUAAGCCAAACCUCUUGCUAUACCAACACAGAUCUUGUGCCUUGUUGGCCAAUCCAACUUCAACUGACUUUCUUCUGGCCC
rnacentral:lncRNA from 1 species